CCAAAGGCUCUUCUCAGAGCCGCCCCCAUAUAGUCACUAAGAGUU
rfam:Xenopus tropicalis strain Nigerian scaffold_56_contig_20, whole genome shotgun sequence.